rnacentral:lncRNA from 1 species
UUUAUUAGCUGUGUAACCUUAAGGAUGUUGCUCUACUUCCCUUUAUUUUUCUUUAAGAUGAGGAUAACACCACCUCAUUUUCUAGGAGUGUUUUUGAGAUUUAGAUGACAUGGGAGAGGCUUUACAUGGUGUAUUACUCAGGGUCCUUGAGGGAAACUAAACCAGUAUGUUACACAUUUAUUUAUUAUGAGAAUUGGCUCAUACAAUUAUAGAGGCUGAAAGGUCCCACAGUCUGUUAUCUGCAUGCUAGAAAAUGAGGGAAGUUGGUGGUGUAAUUUAAUCAUAGUUCAAAGAUCUAAGAACCUCAGAGGUGGUGGGACAACAAUGAUGUAUGUCCCUAACCAUGCCCAGCGACCUGAGAACAAGGACCAUCAAUGUCUGAGGGCAGAAAAAGAUGGAUGUCCUCAUUCUCCACAUGCUUGUUCUACUUGGGCCCUCGGUGGACUGGAUGAUGUCCACCCACAUAGAUAGGGGCAGAUCUUCAUUAAUAAGUCUACUGCUUCAAAUGCUAAUUUCUUCUGAAAAGACCCUCACUGACACCCAGAAAUAGUGUUUAACUGCCUGAGUAUCCCUUAGCCCAGUCUAGUCGACACAUAAAAUUAAACAUCACACAUAGUUUUGAGCAAAAGAGUGAAAUGAUAAGAUACAUGUUCUUGAAAUAUCUCUCCAACUUCUACAUUGACAGCAGACUAUCGAGGGUCAACAGUAGAAGCCAGAAGACUUGUUAAGAAGCUAUGGAAGUAAUCCAGGUGAGAAAUGUUGAUGACCUGAAUCAUGACAGCAGUAGAGGUGUUAAGAAAUUUUGGAUCCUGAUUAUGUUUUUAAGCUAAAUGCAAGAUUUGCUGAGAAAAAUAGAAGAAUCAAGAAUAAAUCCAAGUUUCUUUGGACUGGACAGCUGGAAGGAUGGUUUUACUGUUAAAUGAGCUAGUGAAUGGAGCAGGUUUGAGAUAAGGCCAAGAAAAGGAGUUCUGUCUGAACAUGUUGAGUUUCAGAUGACUAUUGGACAUCAAGGUGGAAAUGUUAAGUACUUAGAUAUGAUAUGAAGUUCAGAAGAGGAACUUGUGUUAGAUAUACGAAUUUAUGGGUCAUUAACAUAGAGGUUAUAUAUAAAGCCAGAGAGUCACUGAUAGAGAGUGGAAGAGAACAAGGACUGACUAACCUGCAGCACUUCAAAUGUAAAAGUGCAGAAAAGAAGCGUAACUAAGAAAAGAGAUUGAGAAGGAAUGACCUGUGAUUCAGGAAAAAAAAAAUUACAGAUGUGUUGAGCUAGAAUCAAGAAUAGAAAAUGUUUCCAGGAGAGGGGAGAGAACUACGUGUCAGAUCUACUGAAAGCUCCAAUAAAAAGGAAACUAAUUGAUCAUUCGGUUUAAUGAUGUGGAGGUCAGUGGCAACUGAGUUCAUUUUGGUUCCCAUAGCAGCAGAUUCUAAACAAGAAUUUGAGAGGAAGGAGCUUGUUUGAGAGGUGUAGGAACAGCAAUAGUAGAUUCAAAAAAUGAUAUAAGGAAGGCAGCCCAUAAGUGUAUGUCAUUAAGCCAUAGUUGACAACUGGAGCUUAUUCCUACAAGACUCUAAGAAAUGGCAUAAAACACAAUUCAGAGUUGUUCCACACAAAGAGCAAGGGAGAGCCGUGAUCAGCUGCCAAAACAAAGGAAUAGAAAUGGAAGAGUUAGAGGCAGUGUUAUGCUAGAGCUGUCCCUUAGCGAGCUGAUUUUAAAGCUUGAAAUCGGCCAUGGAUAAAUUCCCAGAAGUGGAAGACAUUGCCAAGUUUUUCUUCAGAAAGAUGGAUGAAUUCUUGGCCUGAAAAAGGGGAAUCAAAAGACGUGCUUUCCUGUGCUUCAGCUGCAAUGUCUAUUUCUCAAGACGCUGAAAAAGAUGAUUUAGAGUUUUAUGAUUAAUGGAAGGGAGGAAUCUACUCUAAAGAAAUUGGAUAAUACUAUAAAUAAGAAAUAAAAAUUAUUUGACAAAAGCUAUCUUCCCCUUAGGGAUUAUAUGUACU